AGCGAACGCUGGCGGCAGGCCUAACACAUGCAAGUCGAACGAACUCUUCGGAGUUAGUGGCGGACGGGUGAGUACCACGUGGGAACGUGCCUUUUGGUUCGGAAUAACUCAGGGAAACUUGUGCUAAUACCGAAUGUGCCCUUCGGGGGAAAGAUUUAUCGCCAUUAGAGCGGCCCGCGUCUGAUUAGCUAGUUGGUGAGGUAACGGCUCACCAAGGCGACGAUCAGUAGCUGGUCUGAGAGGAUGACCAGCCACACUGGGACUGAGACACGGCCCAGACUCCUACGGAGGGCAGCAGUGGGGAAUCUUGCGCAAUGGGCGAAAGCCUGACGCAGCCAUGCCGCGUGAAUGAUGAAGGUCUUAGGAUUGUAAAAUUCUUUCACCGGGGACGAUAAUGACGGUACCCGGAGAAGAAGCCCCGGCUAACUUCGUG
rnacentral:rRNA from 1 species